GACGAACGCUGGCGGCGUGCUUAACACAUGCAAGUCGAACGGAAAGGCCCUGCUUUUGUGGGGUGCUCGAGUGGCGAACGGGUGAGUAACACGUGAGUAACCUGCCCUUGACUUUGGGAUAACUUCAGGAAACUGGGGCUAAUACCGGAUAGGAGCUCCUGCUGCAUGGUGGGGGUUGGAAAGUUUCGGCGGUUGGGGAUGGACUCGCGGCUUAUCAGCUUGUUGGUGGGGUAGUGGCUUACCAAGGCUUUGACGGGUAGCCGGCCUGAGAGGGUGACCGGCCACCUUGGGCCUGCGAUACGGCCCAGACUCCUACGGGAGGCAGCAGUGGGGAAUAUUGCCCAAUGGGCGGAAGCCUGAUGCAGCAACGCCGCGUGCGGGAUGCCGGCCUUCGGGUUGUAAACCGCUUUCGCCUGUGACGAAGCGUGAGUGACGGUAAUGGGUAAAGAAGCACCGGCUAACUACGUG
rnacentral:rRNA from 1 species